CAAUAGCGUAUAUUAAAGUUGUUGCAGUUAAAAAGCUCGUAGUUGGAUUUCUGGUAGGAGUGACCGUUCCGAACUUGAUUGUUCGUGUAUUGUGUUUUCUCCAGCCAUCCUUGUGGAGAACUUUUCUUGCAUUAAUUUGUAGGGAUUGGGACCCGCAUCGUUUACUGUGAAAAAAUUAGAGUGUUUAAAGCAGGCAAUCGCUUGAAUACAUUAGCAUGGAAUAAUAAGAUAGGACUUUGGUACUAUUUUGUUGGUUUGCAUACCAAAUUAAUGAUCAACAGGAACAGUUUUAGGAUAUUCGUAUGAACAUGUCAGAGGUGAAAUUCUUGGAUUUUGAUCAGACGAACUACUGCGAAAGCAUUUAUCAAGGAUGUUUUCAUUAA
rnacentral:rRNA from 1 species